UUUCCGUAGGUGAACCUGUGGAAGGAUCAUUACUGAGCGCGAGGCCCCGCAGCGCGCACGCGCUGCGGCGGUUGACCCUCCACCCGUGUGAACUCUUAUCUGUUGCUUUGGCGGGCCGGGCUCGACCUGCCGGCUCCGGCUGGCGAGUGCCCGUCAGAGAAGCCCCAACUCGUGCUGUGAGUGUUGUCUGAGGAAAUGUGGAAUUAGUAAAACUUUCAACAACGGAUCUCUUGGCUCUGGCAUCGAUGAAGAACGCAGC
rnacentral:misc_RNA from 1 species